AUUUUUGACGUAACCCAGAUCAGAUGGUUAUUUAUGUACACUGUGUACUUCAUUAUGUUUUCGAAGCAUGGAGUAUAUAUAGUGGAUGUCCAUUCCGUAGUUGUUCCAUAAGCAGGUGCAAAAUGUUACGAGCUCCAAGACUUUGCGGGAUUUUGUUGGUUCUACUAGCCAUGGCUGUGGCCAGGCCUGAACGAGAUCAUGUUCGAUCUUCAAGUAAGUGGCCAAUAGUCGGUGCGGACGUGGGAAUUGCUGGAUAUAAAAGUAAAGGACAGGCAGAGAAACCCGAGAAGGAUUCUAGAGAAGCAAAAGAACAGGCACGAGACGAAUAUUCCGAAGAUGCAAGGGAAGAAUUAUUUGAAAAAUAUGAAGAAUCAUUUAGAGAAUCAUCGAAUGAAUUUGCUGGAGAAUCUUUUAAAGUGUUGCUUAAGCAACUUCGACAACAAGAAACAUCUACUCAACCACCUUUAGAUGGACCAAGUGCUUUACCAUCGAUGCCAUCAGGUGAAAUAUCUACGGGAUCAGGUGACCAAGCAAAUAUGGGACAAACUGUUCCACCAUCGGUGCCAUCAGGUGAAAUAAGUACGGGAUCAGGUGACCAAGCAAAUAUGGGACAAACUGUUCCACCAUCGGUGCCAUCAGGUGAAAUAAGUACGGGAUCAGGUGACCAAGCAAAUAUGGGACAAACUGUUCCACCAUCGGUGCCAUCAGGUGAAAUAAGUACGGGAUCAGGUGACCAAGCAAAUAUGGGACAAACUGUUCCACCAUCGGUGCCAUCAGGUGAAAUAAGUACGGGAUCAGGUGGCCAAGGAAAUAUGGGACCAACGGUUGCAACGAUGCUAUCAAGUGAAAAACCUACGGGAUCAGGUGGCCAAGUAACUAUGGGACCAAGUGACCAAGGAAAUAUGGGACCAACUGUUCCAACGCUGGGAUCAGGUGAAAUAACUACGGGAUCAGGCGGCCAAGCAACUAUGGGACCAACUGUUCCACCAACAAUGGGAUCAGGUGAAAUAACUACGGGAUCAGGUGGCCAAGCAACUAUGGCACCAACUGUUCCACCAACUAUGGGACCAGGUGACCAAGCAACUAUGGCACCAACUGUUCCACCAACUAUGGGAUCAGGUGACCAAUCAACUAUGGGAUCAAGUGAGCAAUCAACUAUGGCAUCGAAGCCAGAAACAACCAAAGAAACGAGUCUGGGAUCGACUGCGCAGACAAGCCCGCAAACAUCUGAGAGUCCUGGCAAGACAACAACCGAGAUGCCAGAAGAAUGGACUGAAGAUUGGCCCGAAGAAGAAGAAGAAUCAAGCGAAGAUCUUUUUGAGGAGAUAGCGGAAGAAAUUUGUUCAUGGUUAAUAGAAUGGUUAUGUUGGUAAUGAUAAAACUCUACGAGUAACUUAUACUUUACAACAGAUGAGCCUUCGAUUUUGUUUUCGUACGUUUUUCAUCAGACUAUGUUUGAAACUAAGCUCAAAUUGUUUUGAAUUAUAUUGAGGAAACAAUAAAUUGUGCAAUAAUGACUUCAAUUGUGGUUGCUUACGUAUUUGUGUUGCUUUUGCUGAUGAUCCAUAUCAAAGCCAUAGCCAUACCCAACAUGGAUCCGUUCUUAAACCAGCCUGAUACGGACUAUGAAGAUGUGGAAGAAUGGGGCGCAAUUUAAGGUCCGCAAAGAAGGUCCACCUAUAAACACUGACACUACACUGAAUAAUUGAGCGGUGCCAACCACAUUCAAUCGUUAGGCCCCUCACAUGUAACAUUUUCAGGUGCGACCUAUGCCCUCCGCCCACCCAUCAGUACUCAUCAUGGCAAGGCCCUGGUUAUAAUAUUUACACGCGAUUCACACAGAGAAAGCCUUGAAAUAACAUCGAUCACAGCUACACCCGAUAUGGACCUAUUUUUAGUGGACAGCCUCAUCUCGUGGAGGUGAUUCCCCAUAAUCUGUUGAUGCCCCUCAAGACUGGUGUGCUCAUAGAGUGGAAUCAACUAUACUUCCAAAACUUUUGAAGAAAUAAUUACAAAUUAAACAUAUAGAAUCAUA